rnacentral:lncRNA from 1 species
AUUUGGUUUUCAUCCUUCGAAAAUUUUGGUUUGUUUUUUUCCUUAUAUUCUAUAAAUGUGUCAUUUUAUUUUGAAGGAGAUAUAUCAAGUGGCAUUAUUUUUUUAUUUCAAAAUUUAAAAUAUGAAUUAUGAGUUAAAAUUGCCACAAAUUGUAUUAAAAAUAAAAAAUACAAUAAUAUAGUUUGUGGGGCUUCUCAACCGCCACAAUUUGUAAACAAAUACUACCUGAACCACCAUCACCACCACACCUAAACCAAACAGCCACCACCUCCAACCAAUAAGUCCCAAAUCCUAACUCCCAAAUCAGACAUCCCCACCCCCAAAUUUGAAAUCCUAACCACCAUCACCACCAGACCUGAACCAAACAACAGAUCAAUUGCGAAAACGAAACACUCACGGUAAUCUCAGCGAGAAACGCGUCGAGAUCAUCGGCGCUUAUUCUAGAAGCAGCUUCGGCCACCGUCACCUUCGGCUUCUUCGAUUUCUUCUGCUUCGCCUCCUUCACCUCCUGAAAGGCGCUGGCUUCAUGCUCGGCAUCGCCGUCGUCUUCGUCGUCGGAAUGCCAUUUCGAUCUGCUUAGAGCGGCGGCUGAAGCUGUUUCAGCCUCGGCACCGUUUUCAGAGUUCAGACCCUCGAAAACCCCACUGGAAGAGAGACGAAGCAAGGGGCAAGAGCGGAGGGCGCGCGCGGGAUGGUUCAGAUCGCGAGGAGGAGGAAGAAGGGACGGCCGUCGAAGGCGGAUCUGGCGCGCCGCGCGAGAAGAAGCUCAAGCUCAUGGUGAAGCUGAACCCGGAAAAAAAAAAGUUUAAAUUACUCCUUUUUGGAAUCUAUUGUUUCACCACUCUUACAUUUUAAGAGUCUACGUUGAAAGUUUCUAUAGUUUAGGUUUUACUUUUAUUUGUAUUUUAAUUUUUUUUUAUAAUUUGAAAGUGAUAUUUUUAGUUAUUA